CUCUAGAUGUUGUGGGUUAUCUGGCUCAUAACCUGAAGGUCGUAGGUUCAAAUCCUACUCCCGCAACCA
rnacentral:tRNA from 1 species